UGGGGAAUCUUAGACAAUGGGGGAAACCCUGAUCUAGCCAUGCCGCGUGAGUGACGAAGGCCUUAGGGUCGUAAAGCUCUUUCGCCAGGGAUGAUAAUGACAGUACCUGGUAAAGAAACCCCGGCUAACUCCGUGCCAGCAGCCGCGGUAAUACGGAGGGGGUUAGCGUUGUUCGGAAUUACUGGGCGUAAAGCGCACGUAGGCGGACUAUUAAGUCAGGGGUGAAAUCCCGGGGCUCAACCCCGGAACUGCCUUUGAUACUGGUAGUCUUGAGUUCGAGAGAGGUGAGUGGAAUUCCGAGUGUAGAGGUGAAAUUCGUAGAUAUUGGGUGGAACACCAGUGGCGAAAGCGGCUCUCUGGUCCGGAUCUGACGCUGAGGCGCGAAAGCGUGGGGAGCAAACAGGAUUAGAUACCCCCGUAGUCC
rnacentral:rRNA from 1 species